GCCUGACUUCCGGCCGCCAUUUUUGGAUUCGAAAGAAAUGGCGGCAUUUUCAACUGCGUAAACAGAUCCGCUCAAACCUCCAAGGUAGACGUCCUCCUCAGAAAGCCUCGUGGGACCUGAACACGUCCAAGGUUACAGAAAGUUCCUGUGAGUGAAAUGCACCGGGGGGUAAAAGAUGGCGGAGGCACACGUGUGUGUCCAGUCGUGAUGGGCGAGUGAAAGGGCAGGUGAAAUGAAGGUGGGCUUUGACUUUGGUGGGGCCUCCUGGGGAUGAUGACCUUCUUUCACAUUCUAGUAAGUUUGACAACUGAGGAGAAUCCCAACCUGCCUUUUAAGACACUCUUUACUCCUUCUCGGAGGUCCUGCAGCU